AGGGAAAACCACUAGACCAUUCAGUAGCCCACACACCUCAGGAUAUGAGUGUAAUCAGUGCCGCUCCAUUAGCUGCAAAAGGCGAGCCAUCUAAGCAAAGGUAUCAGAAACAUCUAGAAAAUGCCAAAAGGAUUGGAAUUAAAAAAGUUAUUUCAGCGAACAUUUCUAUGGGCACUGCCUUCCUGCUAAUAUAUGCAUCGUAUGCACUGGCCUUCUGGUAUGGAUCCACUCUAGUUAUAGCCAAAGAAUACACUAUUGGAAAUGCAAUUACAGUCUUUUUCUCAGUCCUGAUCGGCGCCUUCAGCAUUGGACAGGCGGCUCCCUGUAUUGAUGCUUUUGCCAAUGCAAGAGGAGCAGCAUAUGCGAUCUUUGCUAUUAUUGAUAAUGACCCUAAAAUUGACAGUUUUUCAGAGAGAGGACACAAACCAGACAACAUUAAAGGGAAUUUGGAGUUUAAAGGUGUUCAUUUCUGUUAUCCUGCUCGGCCGGAUGUCAAAAUCUUGAAGGGCCUCAACCUGAGGGUAGAGAGCGGGCAGACGGCGGCCCUGGUUGGGAACAGCGGCUGUGGGAAGAGCACAGUAGUCCAGCUGGUGCAGAGGCUGUACGACCCUGACGUGGGGCGGAUUAUCAUCGAUGGGCAGGAUAUUAGGACAUUUAAUGUAAAGUAUCUGAGGGAAAUAAUUGGAGUGGUGAGUCAGGAGCCAGUGCUCUUUGCCACCACCAUUGCUGAAAAUAUCCGUUACGGCCGUGGAAAUGUCACCAUGGAUGAAAUAAAGCAAGCUGUGAAGGAAGCCAACGCCUAUGAGUUUAUCAUGAGAUUACCACAGAAAUUUGACACCCUGGUUGGAGAGAGAGGGGUCCAGCUGAGCGGUGGACAGAAGCAGAGAAUCGCCAUCGCCCGGGCGCUGGUUCGCAACCCCAAGAUCCUGCUGCUGGACGAGGCCACCUCAGCGCUGGACACGGAGAGUGAAGCCGAGGUUCAGGCGGCCCUGGAUAAGGCCAGGGAAGGCCGGACCACCAUAGUGAUAGCGCACCGGCUGUCUACGAUCCGGAAUGCAGAUGUCAUCGCUGGGUUUGACGACGGAGUCAUUGUGGAGCAAGGAAGCCACAGAGAACUAAUGAAGAAGGAAGGGGUGUACUUCAGGCUGGUAAACACGCAGGAUGCUUUUCUGAAAAUCAUUCAAAAUGAGGGCAUUAAAUCCCUGUGGAGUGGCCUUCCUCCUGCGUUAGUGAUGGCAGUUCCUGCCACAGUUAUUUAUUUUACCUGCUACGAUCAAUUAACUGCUCUUCUGAGAUCUAAAUUAGGAGAGAAUGAAAGCCGCAUACCAGUUGUUGCUGGAAUUGUGGCCAGACUUGGCGCAGUGACUGUAAUAAGGCCACUGGAAUUGAUUAGAACCAAGAUGCAAUCGAAGAAGUUUUCUUAUGAGGAACUACAUUGAUUUGUCAGCAAGAAAGUAUCUGAAGAUGGUUGGAUUUCCCUCUGGAGGGGCUGGGCUCCUACCAUUCUUAGAGAUGUACCAUUCUCAGCAAUGUACUGGUAUAACUAUGAAGUCUUAACGAGGUGGUUGUGUGCAAAAUCUGGCUUAUAUGAACCAACAUUUAUGAUCAACUUUACCUCAGGGGCAUUGUCUGGUUCUUUUGCAGCUGUUCUAACUUUGCCAUUUGAUGAACACAAAAGCAGACAUAACUUUGGAUAUAUGAAAGCCAGAAAAUUUCUGUGCCUUUGCAAAUGUCAACCUGGACUAUAAUGAAGAACAUUGUUGCUAAGAAUGGCUUUUCUGGAUUAUUUACAGGACUGAUUCCUCGUUUAAUUAAAAUUGCCCCUGCUUGUGCUGUUAUGAUCAGUACGUAUGAAUUUGGAAAGUCUUUCUUCCAGAAACAAAAUGCUCAAAGACAGCAAUACUAGAGAUGCCGUUUAAACCUGAAAUAACAACCUUGACCAAAUAAUAAGAGGAGACUCUGAGGCAAGAGCUUUUUUCACUUUUUUCGCUAUUAUCUUACAGUGGUUUUCUAGCAUUCUUAUCUAUAAUUUAAAUGAAUAGUAAAUCUCUACUUUGCAUUUAAUCAUUCUAACUUCAAAUUUUUAUCCUAAAUUUUGAGAAUUUGAAAAAGAUACUCCAGAAAUCAUAACCAUUGAGCAUUCUUGUAAAGAAGAGAAAUAUUAUUCUACACUGAAAGCAAUAAUCUUAGAGUUUGGUACAGAUUUCUAUGUAACUUCAUACUGUUGGGAGUGUCAAGAGACGUCAAACAUUUUUGCAAUUGCAUGCUGAAUGAUGUACAGAGUCUAAAAGAAUUUCCCGUCUUUUAUACAUAUUUAAAUCAUGGACAUAGAUAAUUGUUUCAACAAAGUAGAUAACAAAACCAGUCUUUAAAUAUUAUUAUUCACAUCAUUUACCAAAUAUUGCCUAUCAGUUAUUUUCUUUAAUUCACAUAUAUUUGGGUUUUUUUUUUUCCCCACCCUGUUACUGUUUUAAGGCCUCAUGUGUAUUAAGAUUUCUCUGAUCAGAGGUAUGGCUAUCUUAUGUUCAUGAACCAAAAAUAUAACUUGUGUGAUAUUAAUGCUGCUAUUUUUGAUGUUUAAAGACCCUGUAUUAUCUACUGUUUCUGUGAGAGAGAUCGUUUACUGACCGUAUUAAAUGUUCACUUCAGUCAAACUUGCAGUGGAAAACCACACUGUAUUCAGGCUAGUGAGAAUGCUGUUUCAGCACAAGAAAGGCCUCUGGUUUCAGCUGUCUUGUCAGCAGGUAUUACCAUUUGUGAAGUUCUCUAGGUCACGUCUGUUCGCUUGUUCUAACGUCACUGAGACAGAGUAUGUUCCAGAUGUCCCUUGACUUUACACAUCUCACAUGAGUGUGCUAGACCAAGAACUACCAAGCCAGCUUCCUUGAAGAAAGAGCUUUCAGUCACUGGAGGCUAAUGCCUAAGAAGUUUAGUUUAUGAAUGUAACAAUGAAAAAGAAUAUGAUUUCAAGACAAUAUUUUUUAAUAUUUUUGUUUUUCUCAGGAUCUGUAUACUCUAAGAAAAAGCACUUUAUUGCAGUCUAUCUGUAUUUUAUGAAAAUGUGAAACAUUUUCCCCUAAAAUAGAGUAAUACAUAUUUAAGUGACAAAUCUCUAGUGUUGGUAGGAAUUAAUGUAUUUUCUAAUAUAGUAGAAAACUGUUUCACCAGAAAGAAGCUAUAUAGGGUUUGUAUUUAAGCUUUUUGUGUUUAUUUUAUCCUGUGUUAAUGUACCGUAUGUUUGCAACAUAUAUAUCCGUAAAAAUAUAAAUAUAUUUUCAUUGAAAUAUUUUGUGCUUUCUUAAAGCUACCACUGUGCUUCUAGCUAAAUACUUUCAUAUAAAACUAUGUUAAUGCUAUACUAUCAACAUAUGUAUAAAACACAUGGAAGUUUAUCUAGAACACUGAUUUGAACAGUAUUAAAUUUAAAUUUACCUUUGUUUUGCUGUGCUUCUUUUGGGUAACUGGUAGGAAAAGGUAAAAAAAUUUAGGUUUUGAACAAUAGUUUCAAAAAUAAGUUAUGUAUUUCAAGUUAAUGUCACUUAUAAACAAACAGAAGGGAAACUUUCAUCCUCUCCUUGCCCCAC